AAAAUCAUUGAUUACAGGUGGCCAUUGGCAGUAUAUUAUUUUGUUGGCUCUACCUUUAGUGCAAAGACGAUUUCCCUUCAUGUUUGAUGUGGUUUUCUUCAACAAUGUACACCGUCUACUGCAUGUGCUACAUCGUCAAAGACCUCCUACCCCACCAAGACUCGUUUAUCAACCACAACCAACUCUAAGAAGAUCUAACAGGGUACGGCGA
rnacentral:lncRNA from 1 species